UACAGAGGUCCCAAGCGUUGUUCGGAUUCACUGGGCGUAAAGGGUGCGUAGGCGGUUGGGUAAGUCUGUCGUGAAAUCUCCGAGCCCAACUCGGAAACUGCGUCGGAUACUAUUCAACUCGAGGAAUGGAGGGGAGACUGGAAUUCUCGGUGUAGCAGUGAAAUGCGUAGAUAUCGAGAGGAACACCAGUGGCGAAGGCGAGUCUCUGGACAUUUCCUGACGCUGAGGCACGAAAGCCAGGGGAGCAAACGGG
rnacentral:rRNA from 1 species